AGACGUCUACAUUAGAUACCCCGGUAGUCCCAGCCGUAAACGAUGCGCGUUAGGUGUAUCGACGACCACGAGUCGUCGAGGUGCCGAAGGGAAACCGUGAAACGUGCCGCCUGGGAAGUACGGUCGCAAGGCUGAAACUUAAAGGAAUUGGCGGGGAGCACAACAACGGGUGGAGCCUGCGGUUUAAUUGGACUCAACGCCGGGAAGCUCACCGGAUAAGACAGCGGAAUGAUUGCCGGGCUGAAGGCUCUGCAUGACUAGCUG
rnacentral:rRNA from 1 species